UGCUUUCUCUAGGAUGGUGCACUCCAUUUGGAAAUCCACCAAUUCUUGGGCUUUGAUGGCUGGUUGGGAAGGAAAUUGGAUAUCAAAUUCUUUUAGCUCAACCUUCUUAACAUGUCCAGCUUCUACAAAACUUGUCACAUGGGCUGGUCAGCCAAUACUAUUGUGGAGUGUUCCUGAAAAUACGAUCAGAGUCUUUGGGCCAAGAUGGCAGGAGCAUAAUCCAUCUUCUCAAGUUUGGG
rnacentral:lncRNA from 1 species